GUCGUAACAAGGUUUCCGUAGGUGAACCUGCGGAAGGAUCAUUGUCGA
rnacentral:rRNA from 1 species